CCUACGGGAGGCAGCAGUAGGGAAUAUUGGACAAUGGGCGAAAGCCUGAUCCAGCAAUGCCGCGUGAGUGAUGAAGGCCUUAGGGUUGUAAAGCUCUUUUACCCGAGAUGAUAAUGACAGUAUCGGGAGAAUAAGCUCCGGCUAACUCCGUGCCAGCAGCCGCGGUAAUACGGAGGGAGCUAGCGUUGUUCGGAAUUACUGGGCGUAAAGCGCACGUAGGCGGCGAUUUAAGUCAGAGGUGAAAGCCCGGGGCUCAACCCCGGAACUGCCUUUGAGACUGGAUUGCUAGAAUCUUGGAGAGGCGAGUGGAAUUCCGAGUGUAGAGGUGAAAUUCGUAGAUAUUCGGAAGAACACCAGUGGCGAAGGCGGCUCGCUGGACAAGUAUUGACGCUGAGGUGCGAAAGCGUGGGGAGCAAACAGGAUUAGAUACCCGUGUAGUC
rnacentral:rRNA from 1 species